UACGGAGGGUGCGAGCGUUGUCCGGAAUCACUGGGCGUAAAGGGCGCGUAGGCGGCGCGACAAGUCAGUGGUGAAAGCCCGAGGCUCAACUUCGGGUCGGCCACUGAUACUGUCGGGCUCGAGCACUGUAGAGGCAGGUGGAAUUCCGGGUGUAGCGGUGGAAUGCGUAGAGAUCCGGAAGAACACCGGUGGCGAAGGCGGCCUGCUGGGCAGUGGCUGACGCUGAGGCGCGACAGCGUGGGGAGCAAACAGG
rnacentral:rRNA from 1 species